GGGCGAGACGGAGGGGCGGUGCCGAGGGGAGAGGCAGCGCAGAGGGAAGGAGCGGGGCGAGGAGAAGGGGCGGGGCGAGUACUGCUCCAAGAUAUGGCAACCGUGACAGCUUUGCGAGUAGCUCCAGGUCCCCUGCUGCUCCGUGAGAAAUCAAACUUCUGGCAAUGACGAAGCAUGAAGCCAGCAUCUCAGGGAGAGGGAAAUUAAUGUUAUGACUGGAUAAGACAAUUGUGAAGAAACUGCACUUCGAGGUUGUCUGUCUCCGUAUUCCGAUGGAAAAGGCUGGACUUUAGAAGCAUUGCUCGCUCCUUCAGUUUCUAACAAGAGUUUUACAGUUUCUGAUUAAAUACCAAUGGGAUAUCACCUCCCAUCUCUUAGGAUGGCUGUUAUAAAAAGGACAAGAGAUAACAAGUGUUGGUGAUGGUGUGGAGAGAAGGGAACCUUUGUACACUGCUGGUUAAAAUGUAAGUUAGUACAGCCAUUAUGGAAAACAGUAUGAAAGUUCCUGAGAAUCUAAAAAUAGAACUACCAUAUGGCUCAGCAAUCCCUCCUAUGAAUUAUAUAUCAACAGGAAAUGAAAUCAGCAUCUGAUAGAGAUAUCUUCACUCCCCUCUUCUCCGUGCCCCACCACAGCAUUGCUCCCAACAGCCAAGCCAUGGGAUGAAGUUACUGUGCAUUGAUGGAUGAGUGGAGAAAAGAAAAUGUGGGGGAGGUGUUUGUGCAUGUAUGUGUGUGUGUGUAUAAUAUAUAAUAAUAUAAUAUUUUUCAGCUUUUAAGAAGUUGAAGAUACUGCCAUUUGUGAUAACAUAAAUGAAUCUGGAGGAUAUUAAGCUAAGUAAAAUAACUUAGGGAGAGAGAAAAAUACUGCAUAAUUUCUGUUACAUAUGAAAUCUUUAAAAAGGUUUAAUACAUAGAGACAUGAUAGAGUGAUGAUUUGGGGGAUAAGAGACACAAGUCAACGUUUCAGUUAUAUAAAAUAAAUGAAUCUAGAGGACUAAAGUACAAUUUAAAGGUUAUAGUUACUAUUUUUAUAUUAUAUACUAGUGAUUUUUGAACAGGGUAAACUUUAGGUGCUUUGACACCAAAAGGAAACUACAUGAGUUCAUGUAUAUGUUAAAUUGUUUGACCGCAGUCAUCAUUGAUAUGUAUAUGUAUAUAUAUAUAAUUAUGGGCUCAUUAAAUUUAAAUGCUAUAAAUAGGUAACAAAGAAUAAAGUUAAUUGAAAAACU
rnacentral:lncRNA from 1 species